rnacentral:rRNA from 1 species
GACGAACGCUGGCGGCGUGCUUAACACAUGCAAGUCGAACGAAGUGGCGAACGGGUGAGUAACGCGUAAUCAACCUGCCCUUCAGAAGGGGAUAACAGUUGGAAACGACUGCUAAUACGGCAUACUGAAGUAGGGGAUUGCAGCUGAUUGGGUAGUUGGAGGGGUAACGGCCCACCAAGGCGAUGAUCAGUAGCCGGGCUGAGAGGAUGAACGGCAAAAGUGGGAAUGAGAAACGGCACAGACUCCUACGGGAGGCAGCAGUGGGGAAUCUUCCGCAAUGGACGAAAGUCUGACGGAGCAACGCCGCGUGAGUGAUGACGGCCUUCGGGUUGUAAAGCUCUGUUAAUCGGGACGCGGUACCGGAAUAGAAAGCCACGGCUAACUACGUGCCAGCCGCCGCGGUAAUUC